AGGACGAACGCUGGCGGCGUGCUUAACACAUGCAAGUCGAACGAUGAUGCCCAGCUUGCUGGGUUGAUUAGUGGCGAACGGGUGAGUAACACGUGAGUAACCUGCCCCUGACUUCGGGAUAACGCUGGGAAACUGGUGCUAAUACCGGAUAUGACGCAUCCUCGCAUGGGGGUGUGUGGAAAGACUGUGUCGGUUGGGGAUGGGCUCGCGGCCUAUCAGCUUGUUGGUGGGUGAUGGCCUACCGAAGGCGUCGACGGGUAGCCGGCCUGAGAGGGUGACCGGCCACGCGUGGGACUGGAGAUACGGCCCAGACCUCCUACGGGAGCAGCAGUGGGAAUAUUGCACAAGUGGGCGCAACGCCGUGAUGCGAGCGACGCCGCGUGAGGAUCGGACGCCGUUCGGUUCGUAAACCGUCUUACG
rnacentral:rRNA from 1 species